CCUACGGGAGGCAGCAGUAGGGAAUCUUCCACAAUGGGCGAAAGCCUGAUGGAGCAACGCCGCGUGGGUGAAGAAGGUCUUCGGAUCGUAAAACCCUGUUGUUAGAGAAGAAAGUUCGUGUGUGUAACUGUUCACGUUUCGACGUUAUCUAACCAGAAAGCCACGGCCAAGUCCGUGCCAGCAGCUGCGGGAAUACGUCGGUGGCAAGCGUUAUCCGGAGUUAUUGGGCGUAAAGGGAGCGCAGGCGGUCGUUUAAGUCUGAUGUGAAAGCCUUCGGCUUAACCGGAGUAGUGCAUUGGAAACUGGGAGACUGGAGUGCAGAAGAGGGAGGUGGAACUCGAGGUGUAGCGGUGAAAUGCGUAGAUAUAUGGAAGAACACCAAUGGCGAAGGCAGCUCGCUGGACUGUAACUGACGCUGAGGUUCGAAAGCGUGGGUAGCAAACAGGAUUAGAUACCCUAGUAGUC
rnacentral:rRNA from 1 species